rnacentral:lncRNA from 1 species
AUAAAGACUGACUGGUCUUUUACAGUGGGUGCUGUCUGUAUCCCUGCGGGAGAGCGUUCCCUGAGGGCCAGGAAGCUCUCCCCCUGUGCUUUCCAGCUGGGAGCCUUAGAGUUGCAGCGCCUACCUUUUGUCUGCAGUCCCCUUCGAGGGAAUCUGUACAGAUGGUAUGAGGCGCACGUUGGGCAGCGCACGUUGGGCAGUGCACGUUGGGCAGCGCACGUUGGCCCUCUGCCCGAGCGGGCUCCGUCUGGCGCCUCUGCUGCGGAGGCGGUCGGUCCUCUGCCCGAGUGGCCCUGCCUCCUUGGUUGGCCACACAGACUGUGCCUGUGGGUUCCCACCAGGUCCACCCCUCCUUGGUCUCCGAGCCUCCCUGGGCCAGUGCUGUGAAUCAGGCACCACUGUCCGUAUGUUAACAGAAUCAUUCAGAGUCUUUUUUUACUGUGGUCAAAACCAGGUGACCAUCUUCAUCGUUUCUGACCGUCCAGCAGGGCUGUGUCGUGCAGGGAGCUCCGUGCCCGUCUCGGUCGGCUUCUGAUGAUCAGAUGGCGUGCCACAGCACACGUGUUUCUCCCGGUCCUGGAGGAGGGACCCAGGGCAGGGGGCACCCGCACGCCCCCGGCACUGCUGCCCCCGUCCCUCCGCGGGUCCCAGGUGCUCCAGGAGGCCUGGGGGGCGUUGCCCCGCGAAGGUGGGGCUGAGCGCCCAUGCUCAGUGUGGGGGCGGUGUCUGUCUGCCUCAGAGCAGCGCCAGUCCCCGUCCUUUGCCUGGUUUCCAGCCUGCUCUUGUCUGUCACGGGGGCCGUCAGGCUCCUCACGCAGCCCAGAUGCUCACCCGUCCUGGUCGUGGGCUUCGCACACAUUUCCUCCUGUUGUGGCUUGCCUUUUCCCUCUGAUGCUGGUUUCUUUCGUUUCACAAAGUUCUGAAGUUGAACGUUGCUCAUCCUGUCUCUGCCGCCUGUCCUGAUGGGCGCGAGUGGAGGAGCGGCACCUCCUCUUGGGUCUGGCUCUUCCCUGGGUUCCACCCUCACUGCCGUCUCUCGUGUCUCCGUGAUUUUUUUGUCAUCUGCACCAGGACUGUCUCUGAGUAAUUCUCCUUCCAGAGGAUUUGGCAGCCAAGCCUGGAGUCUCACUGCUCGGGAAGCAUCUCCGUUUUGCCUUCUUCUCAGUGACACUUUGCACUGGCCUGCUGCUGCUGCUACUGAGUCGCUUCACUCGUGUCCGACUCUGUGCGACCCACAGACGGCAGCCCACCAGACUCCCCCGUCCCUGGGAUUCUCCAGCAAGAACACUAGUGUGUGUUGCCAUUUCCUUCUCCAGUGCGUGAAAGUGAAAAGUAAAAGUGAAGUC